rnacentral:rRNA from 1 species
CCUCAGUAACGGCGAGUGAAGCGGCAAGAGCUCAAAUUUGAAAGCUGGCCCCCUCGGGGUCCGCAUUGUAAUUUGCAGAGGAUGCUUCGGGAGCGGCCCCCAUCUAAGUGCCCUGGAACGGGCCGUCAUAGAGGGUGAGAAUCCCGUCUGGGAUGGGGUGUCCGCGCCCGUGUGAAGCUCCUUCGACGAGUCGAGUUGUUUGGGAAUGCAGCUCUAAAUGGGUGGUAAAUUUCAUCUAAAGCUAAAUACUGGCCGGAGACCGAUAGCGCACAAGUAGAGUGAUCGAAAGAUGAAAAGCACUUUGAAAAGAGAGUUAAACAGCACGUGAAAUUGUUGAAAGGGAAGCGCUUGCGACCAGACUCGCUCGCGGGGUUCAGCCGGCAUUCGUGCCGGUGUACUUCCCCGCGGGCGGGCCAGCGUCGGUUUGGGCGGCCGGUCAAAGGCCCUCGGAAUGUAACGCCCCCCGGGGCGUCUUAUAGCCGAGGGUGCCAUGCGGCCAGCCCGGACCGAGGAACGCGCUUCGGCUCGGACGCUGGCAUAAUGGUCGUAAGCGACCCGUCUUGAAACACGGACCAAGGAGUCUAACAUCUACGCGAGUGUUCGGGUGUCAAACCCGUGCGCGCAGUGAAAGCGAACGGAGGUGGGAA